GCCACCAAAGACAUCCUUGCCAGGAGCUGGUACGUGUGUGACUUCUUGGCAUCCAGAAUCUGGCAACAUUUGAAUCAUCUUUAUUUGAAGCCAGUUUUGUGUAACAAAACUAAGACCGCAUUCAACAAUUUGCCGAAAUGUGGACUCUCUGAAAUACUAAGAAAAUAGACUCAGGAGGACUGCUGCAAAGGCUUUGGCAGGAUGCUGGGAUCUGUGAAACAUCAUCAUCUAUGGAAACGUCUUCCGGGCGCACUUCGUUUACAAGACUGUUAUGAGGAACAUUGAAGGUGUUCAACAGACUGUUUAUAUUACAGAGUUUCUAUCUAGACUGAUCAUAACAAUAGUAAUCCUUGUGUUUGAUAUACAUAACCCCGAACAUGUUGAAAGUUCAGUUUUCUGUGAAGUGUGAAGUUGUCUGGGUCUGUGUAUUUGUGUG